rnacentral:rRNA from 1 species
UACGUAGGGACCGAGCGUUGUCCGGAUUCAUUGGGCGUAAAGAGCUCGUAGGCGGCUAUUCAAGUCGAACGUGAAAUCUCGGAGCUCAACUCCGAAACUGCGUUCGAUACUGGGCAGCUAGAGUCUGGUAGGGGGAUCUGGAAUUCCUGGUGUAGCGGUGGAAUGCGCAGAUAUCAGGAGGAACACCGGUGGCGAAGGCGGGAUCCUGGGCCAGUACUGACGCUGAGGAGCGAAAGCGUGGGGAGCAAACGGG